AUUGAACGCUGGCGGCAUGCCUUACACAUGCAAGUCGAACGGCAGCACGGGGCAACCUGGUGGCGAGUGGCGAACGGGUGAGUAAUGCAUCGGAACGUGCCAUUGAGUGGGGGAUAACGUAGCGAAAGUUGCGCUAAUACCGCAUAUUCUGUGAGCAGGAAAGCAGGGGACCGCAAGGCCUUGCGCUCUUUGAGCGGCCGAUGUCAGAUUAGCUAGUUGGUGAGGUAACGGCUUACCAAGGCGACGAUCUGUAGCGGGUCUGAGAGGAUGAUCCGCCACACUGGAACUGAGACACGGUCCAGACUCCUACGGGAGGCAGCAGUGGGGAAUUUUGGACAAUGGGCGCAAGCCUGAUCCAGCCAUGCCGCGUGAGUGAAGAAGGCCCUUCGGGUUGUAAAG
rnacentral:rRNA from 1 species